GACCGCGUGGUGAAGUGGUUAGCAAGUUUGUUUUGAAAUUUUAGGUUUGGGGUUCGAUUCCGUAUGAGGUCA